CGAAGGGGGCUAGCGUUGUUCGGAAUUACUGGGCGUAAAGCGCACGCAGGCGGUUCGAUUAGUCAGAAGUGAGAGCCCCGGGCUCAACCUGGGAACUGCUUUUGAUACUGUCGAGCUUGAAUCACGGAGAGGGUAGUGGAAUUCCGAGUGUAGAGGUGAAAUUCGUAGAUAUUCGGAAGAACACCAGUGGCGAAGGCGACUACCUGGCCGUCGAUUGACGCUCAUGUGCGAAAGCGUGGGGAGCAAACAGGAUUAGAUACCCUGGUAGUCCACGCCGUAAACGAUGGGUGCUAGUUGUUGGGGUACAUGUACCUCAGUGACGCAGCUAACGCGUUAAGCACCCCGCCUGGGGAGUACGGCCGCAAGGUUA
rnacentral:rRNA from 1 species